GAUGAACGCUGGCGGCGUGCCUAAUACAUGCAAGUCGAGCGAACAGACGAGGAGCUUGCUCCUCUGACGUUAGCGGCGGAUGGGUGAGUAACAAGUGGCUACCCUACCUAUAAGACUGGGCUAACUUCGGGAAAACGACGCUAAAACCGGAUAACAUGUUGAACCGCAUGGUUCAAAAGUGAAAGACGGUCUUGCUGUCACUUAUAGAUGGAUCCGCGCCGCAUUUGCUAGUUGGUAAGGUAACGGCUUACCAAGGCAACGAUGGGUAGCCGACCUGAGAGGGUGAUCGCCCACACUGGAGCUGAGACACGGUCCAGACUCCUACGGGAGGCAGCAGUAGGGAAUCUUCCGCAAUGGGCGGAAGCCUGACGGAGCAACGCCGCGUGAGUGAAGAAGGUCUUCGGAUCGUAAAACUCUGUUAUUAGGGAAGAACAAAUGUGUAAGUAACUAUGCACGUCUUGACGGUACCUAAACAGAAAGCCACGGCUAACUACGUG
rnacentral:rRNA from 1 species